rnacentral:lncRNA from 1 species
CCACGUCGUCUAUACGGCACACGGAUGCCAGCACGCCUACCCGGCCGUCGUUACCCAUGGGGCAAUCCGAGAAGGCCCCUCUGAGGCUUGCCUCAACCAGCAGCACCCCGGGUUUAUUAACUCCCCAAACACCCACUGAACAUCUCACCCAGCAUCACAUGGUGCAGCCCACUGCUCCCGCUCAGCAAAAAGCGAUGGUACGUCAGCCCCAUCUUUGUUUUGUGGAACUGCCGGGCAGAAGAAACACAAUAGGCCUAAUUCACCAUUACAGGCCUAAAUCCAAUUGUGAAUCUCAACUAGGAUAGGCAUAUCAAAUCAACACUUACAUAAUAGAAUCAACACUUACGUAAGGACACUUGCUUAUUCUCACUGGGAGUCACAGUUGGAUUUGGAUAAUUGAUUUGCCUCCUUUCUGAUGACAUUUGGUUUUAUGCAAUGUGUGAUGUAAGAACCUUGUGUUAUAGGUAUAUUUGUACUUGUUUCUGUCUCCGAUUGAUGACUGGCAGUCCUUGGGGGACAGAUGGUGGAGCUUUAAGUAUUGAGCAAACCUAGAUGUUUUCAGGAAGAGACACACCUAUAAGACAGUGGCAGAGCUUGGAAAAGUUCCUUUUUUGGACACAGAACCGCCUAUCUACUCCCACCCCCCAUAAAGCAGUAAUUUUUCCAGGCCAGACUGUAAUAUUUCCAGUUGUAAUUCUAUGCCUCUUGUAAGGCCUGUUUGGCUGAGCCUUUAUGAAUGAUGAAGUCUGAGCUUGGGAAAUCUUUAGUUGCAACUGCUAUUUGAAAUUCCUCAAAUAGUUACUUACUAUUGUAGUUACAGUAACUCUAUUUUAUUUGUCAAAGAUAACUCAAUGGUUGCUUUGUAGUUACUUAAAGAAGCAACAGAACACUAGAAGCUGUUGGAUUAAGUUGUGAGAUUGCGUCCUCCUAAGACAUUAAAACACAGUUUUGGUUACCUUGCAAAAGGAGUGGAAUGAUCCUAAAUUGUGUUCCAGUCUUGAUGUAAUUUAGUUAUUUCUCAGUCGCUACAUAACUGUUAUGGCCUUGGGCAAUCUGCACAGUCCCAGGGCAACCCUAGAAGAAGGUAGACCACUUCUGAGUAUUCUCUGACUGGAAAAUCCUGAAAAGGGUCACCAUAAGUCAGAAUUGAGUUGACAGCACAUGAUGAUGAUGAUUUCUAAGCCCUGAAGUUUCAUAUAUGGGUGCCUUGUGGGGAGGUGACAUAUAAAUAAUAGAAAUGAAUAAUAAAUAUGAGAGCUUCCCUUUAUGCCUCCCCA